CCUACGGUAGGCAGCAGUGAGGAAUAUUGGUCAAUGGACGCAAGUCUGAACCAGCCAUGCCGCGUGAAGGACGACGGCGCUAAGCGUUGUAAACUGCUUUUGUACGAGGAUAAACGCAGAUACGCGUGUCUGACUGAAAGUACCGUACGAAUAAGGAUCGGCUAACUCCGUGCCAGCAGCCGCGGUAAUACGGAGGAUUCAAGCGUUAUCCGGAUUUAUUGGGUUUAAAGGGUGCGUAGGCGGUCGGAUAAGUUAGAGGUGAAAUCCCGAGGCUCAACUUCGGAAUAGCCUCUGAUACUGGUCGGCUAGAGAGUAGUUGCGGUAGGCGGAAUGUACGGUGUAGCGGUGAAAUGCUUAGAGAUCAUACAGAACACCGAUUGCGAAGGCAGCUUACCAAGCUACUUCUGACGUUGAGGCACGAAAGCGUGGGGAGCAAACAGGAUUAGAUACCCUGGUAGUC
rnacentral:rRNA from 1 species